GAUGAACGCUGGCGGUGUGCCUAAUACAUGCAAGUCGAGCGAACAGACGAGGAGCUUACUCCUCUGACGUUAGCGGCGGACGGGGGAGUAACACGUGGAUAACCUACCUAUAAGACUGGGAUAACUUCGGGAAACCGGAGCUAAUACCGGAUAACAUGUUGAACCGCAUGGUUCAACAGUGAAAGACGGUCUUGCUGUCACUUAUAGAUGGAUCCGCGUCGCAUUAGCUAGUUGGUAAGGUAACGGCUUACCAAGGCAACGAUGCGUAGCCGACCUGAGAGGGUGAUCGGCCACACUGGAACUGAGACACGGUCCAGACUCCUACGGGAGGCAGCAGUAGGGAAUCUUCCGCAAUGGGCGAAAGCCUGACGGAGCAACGCCGCGUGAGUGAAGAAGGUCUUCGGAUCGUAAAACUCUGUUAUUAGGGAAGAACAAAUGUGUAAGUAACUAUGCACGUCUUGACGGUACCUAAUCAGAAAGCCACGGCUAACUACGUG
rnacentral:rRNA from 1 species